AACAUCCUUAGGAUCAGCUCUUGGCUCUCACUUGUUCACAAUGUGAAGGAGGAGGCAGAGUCUGACGGAAACAGGUUGGACAGCAUGUUGUGGUGAGGAUAUUUGGACUCUGCUACAGGCUACAUAUAGGUUGAGUGAGUGGGUGAAAGCUUGGCUCAUGGAGCUCAACGUGGGAAUGUGUGAAGUUAUGCAUGUUAAGAAAGGAAAACUGAAGCAGACUAUUGUCUAAAUGGAGAAAGAUUGCAGAUGGGCAGAAUGUAGAGAGAUUUGGAUGUUUUUGUACAGAAAUCACAAAAAGCUAACAGGCAGAUGUAGCUAGUAGGUAGAAAGGCAAAUGAUACGUUGGUCUUUAUUGCAAUAGUAUUGGAGUUGAGAAAUAGGGAAGUGCAGUUACAAUGGUGCAAGGUAUUGGUGAGUAUUGUGCAGAAGUUCGGUCUUAAUAAAGAAAGGUCAUAGUGGCACUUGUCACGGUCCCAAUGGUAUACGCCAGACUCAUCCCUGGGUUACGUGGACUGUCCUGUCAUGAACAGCUAAAGAGAUCUGUAUUCUCUGGACUUUGGAAGGAUAUAUUAUUGAGACUUUAGAGAUACAGCGCAGAAACAGGCCCUUCGGCCCACUAAGUCCAUGCCGAGCAGUAUGCUAACACUAUCCUACACACUAGGGACAAAUUACAAUUUUAACAAAGCCAAUUAACCCAUAAACCUGUAUGUGUUUUGGAGUGUGGGAGGGAACUGGAGGGCCCGGAGAAACCCCACAUGGUCACAGGGAGAAUGUGUAAACUCCAUACAGACAGCACCCAUAGUCAGGAUUGAACCCGGGUCUCUGGUGCUGUAAGGCAGCAGCUCUACCCGCUGCACCACUGUACUGUCAUUUCUCAUUGAAACAUAUCAGCUCCUGAGUGAGCACAAUAGGGGAGAAGUUUCCACAAAUUUCAGACAUGGUCCAAUCUUUUAUCUCUGAGAUACAUAGAGAGCAGCGAUUCUCAACUCAGAAGGUUGUGGAGGCAAGAUCAUUGGAAAUAUUUAAAGAGAAAGUGGAUGGAUUUUUGAGAUUAUGGAGAACUGGUACAGGAGAGACAAUGAGACCCGAGGUAGAUCAGCCUCUACUAGUGAAGGAGAAAUCCACUGUUCGUUGGUCUUGAUGUCAAAGAGAAUCAGCCCAUGAUGAUGUAAAAUAUAUGGACAGUGUUUGGGAGGCCAGGGUCUGGAUAAUGCCAAUUUCUCAAUCAAUGUCACCUCAACAGAUGACAGGGCCUUUAUUAUCUUGGCAUCUAUGGGAGCUUGCUGUGCUUCAAUGGGUUGCCACAUUUGCUGUACUCCAAUAAUGAUGUACUAUACAACUCAUGAUGGGUCAACACAGCUACUUUAUAAACAAACAUUUUACCUAUCCUCCACAAUGACUACCUAACCAAAAAAGCCAUUCAUGAUUACACGCAUCAACACGUUUCAUAGAGGAGGGCUUCACCAGAUCAGAACACAGAACCAUUUUACCACUUCUUUGGUCAUGACCCCCACCGAAAACAUGCUUUUAUAUUACAUUUCAUUGAUUCAUGAGAGCAGCUUAAAUUGGCAAUUACGCCCAUGCACAAGAUCUUGUGAAUGCAUUAUUUAAUGACAUGCUUAUAUAGUAAAUUAUAGUUUUCUUUGUAAUUAACCAUCACAGAAAUCAUAUAGAUCAUUCCAUAUUUAAAAUCAAUGGGAUUUGGUGAAAUAUGAAGCUAGAUCUUUGUUUCCUUGAAAUUGAACUGCAAUUUCCUUAUUUUACUUUACUAAACGUUUACCCACACAGCGUUUCCUCCGAUCAAUGAUGCAGAGCUUUGGAUCGAGGACUUUUACUCUUCAAACAAAUUCAGCAAAAAUAAACAGAAUUUGGAAAAGUUCAAACUCGGACCCAAAAAGGAGAAAGAAAACUUGCAUUUACAUAGCACCAUGCAUAACAAGGUAAACAUCACAGAACAUUUUGCCCCCAGUAAGUAAUUUUAGAAGUUCUGUGGAUUGAUUAAUGCAGGAAACAGUGCCUGAUUUAUACAAAGCCAAUGAGAUAGUGUCCUGAUGAUCAGACUUGUUGAUCCUGAAGGCAGAAUAUGUUUUCUUCAGGACAUCAAGAACUCCCCCAGCAAUUUUUCCAGAUUGUUUUAGAUUUAGAGAUACAGCAUGGAAACAGGCCCUUCGGCCCACCAAAUCCACGCCGACCAGCGAUCCCCACACAUUAGGGACAAUUUGUAGUUCCACCACUGCACCACCAUCCGCCCUUAGUGUUGUGGGACCUUUUACUUCCACUCGAGAAGUCAGAAGCAAAAGAUCCCCAACAGCACUAAACAUCUCCUGAAGAUACCAUUUACUCAGGUUGGUCAGUCCCACCGCAGUGCUUCAAGCUGGAGUCUAAGGCAGUGGGUGAAGGAACGGGUGAAGAGUGAAUGAGGAAUUUGACUCUUUACACUGAUAAUGUCAUACCUGACCUGAAACAAUGCUAACUACUCUUAAGACUCAAAGUGUAUUGAAAAGGAACAUUUCCCAUUGCCUAAUCCCCUGAUUAGUUGCAGUCUCUAAUCUGAAUCUGCACAUAUUUGGAACUGGGCUAAUAAUGCCCCAGGUGGUUUACAUUUACAGCAAGGAGGCAGGAAUGUGCUUAAAAAUGUCUCUGUUGGAUCCAAGUACACAUACCAGCACUGAGGACUCAUUGAACUAAACUAUUAUAACAUACUGACAACAACUAUAUUUUAUAUUUGAAAAAUAUUUCCAUCACCACCUGGAAUUAGUAUUUAAAAUUACAAACAAAUAGAUCAGUUAGCACAAGAGUCUUUAAAAAAUAUACUAUGUACAUUUAGUACAAAGAUUAUAACUUAAUCUUGUUUGGGUGCCAGAGGCAAAAAUGUUUGUGUCAUUAUCAACUCUAACCGCUGGGUACAGCCCAUUCAUGACAAAUUUAUGAACAAAAAGAGGACUAUGCUGGAAGGGGUAAGAAUCUUUUGACUGUAAAAUAGCCAGAAGAUACACUCAGGUAAUGCCCUUCUGAUUGUUUGCUUUAAAACAUAACCAAUGAUACUCAUCACCUUUGUUAAUACAAUGCUGUAUAAAUAUAUGGAGCUGUAAAUAUAAUCUCUCUUAAAUCAAUUUAUUCUGAUAUCAUGCCAUCUCUCCAAAGUGCCAGAUUGUAAUGCUGGUGUGGUUACUGUGCUGAGCACCAACUAUUUAAUAGAUGCUCGGGUUUAGGCAGUAUUAUGCAGGGGUACCCACCUUCAUUUGCAACAGAGACUGAAGUUAGCAGAAUAAAUAUGGGACAUACCAAACAGAUCAGACAGCAUCUGCAAGUUCAUAAGUUCUUGGAGCAGAAUUAGGUCAUUCAGCCCAUCAAGUCAACUCCGCCAUUCAAUCAUGCCUGAGCUAUCUUUCCCUCUCAACCCCAUUCUCUUGCCUUCCCCCCAUAACCUCCGACACCCUUAGUAAUCAAGAAUCUGCUAAUCUCUACCUUAAAAAUAUCCACUCACAUGGCCUCCACAGCCACCUGUGGCAAUGAAUUCCAUAGAUUCAUGGAAUUCCUUCUUAUCUCCUUUCUAAAAGUACGUCCUUUUAUUUUGAGGCUACGUCCUCUGAUCCGAGGCUCUCCCACUAGCAGGAGCAGUGGGAGUAGUGGAAAGCAGUUAUCCCCAGACAUGGUUUAUAAAAGACAGCCUAGUCUCAGAUCGUACAACAAUAUUGGAUCGGUAGUAGAUCCGCUUUUCUAUCUACAUGAGAUGAAAGAUCAUCUACAAACCUAUUCUUGUGUGUUGAAGAUCUCCCAAAUCUUCAGAAAAUUAUAGCAACAAUGAUAACUGAUCGUGAUGUAUAGUUUUGAGAUACAAGAAUCAUGAGCAAAAAACAAACUGCUGGACAAACUCAACAAAUCCGACAGCACCUGCGGAGGGGAUGAACAGGCGACGUUUCGGGUCCAAAUUCUAUCUGGACCUACAAUAUUUUCUGUAAGAUUUAACAACUGUUUUUAGCAUGUUUGAAACUUUGCCUCACCCUUCCUUCACGUGCACACAUGGGAAUUGAACUCAACAAAUGUUCUGGAGGACCACAUACAUGUCUGUAUGCACAAGUGUUGGAUUUUGGAAACUACUGCACAUCAACCUUUCACUUAACAGUGAACUGAUGAGCUGCUGCAUGGUGAGGUACAUCACUCCAGGCUGAUCCACGCUGCCCAACAUCGUGUGGGUCUUGCCAGAUCCUGUUGCACCAUAGGCAAAGACUGAAAAAUGAAAGAUAUACUUGAAACUCUCAUGUAAGAUAU